AACAAACGCUGGCGGCGUGCCUAACACAUGCAAGUCGUACGAGAAAGGGUCCUUCGGGGCCUGAGUAAAGUGGCGCACGGGUGAGUAACGCGUGGAUAAUCUGCCCUUCAGUUGGGAAUAACUCAUCGAAAGGUGGGCUAAUACCGAAUAAUGCUGUGAGACCUCGGUUGAUCAGCCAAAGAGAGCCUCUGCUUGCAAGCCCUCGCUGAAGGAUGAGUCCGCGUACCAUUAGCUAGUUGGUAGGGUAAUGGCCUACCAAGGCGACGAUGGUUAGCUGGUCUGAGAGGAUAAUCAGCCAAACUGGAACUGAGACACGGUCCAGACUCCUACGGGAGGCAGCAGUGAGGAAUCUUGCGCAAUGGGGGCAACCCUGACGCAGCAACGCCGCGUGAGUGAGGAAGGUCUUCGGAUCGUAAAGCUCUGUCGGAUGGAAGAACCGCAUAGGGGUAAACAGCCCCUGUGUCUGACGGUACCGUCAAAGGAAGCACCGGCUAACUCCGUGCCAGCAGCCGCGGUAACAC
rnacentral:rRNA from 1 species